rnacentral:rRNA from 1 species
UACAUGGGGUGCAAACGUUGCUCGGAAUCAUUGGGCGUAAAGCGCGCGUAGGCGGUUACUUAAGUUGGAUGUGAAAGCCCUCGGCUUAACCGAGGAAGUGCAUCCAAAACUGAGUAGCUAGAGUACGAAAGAGGGUCGCGGAAUUCCAGGUGUAGCGGUGAAAUGCGUAGAUAUCUGGAGGAAUACCGGUGGCGAAGGCGGCAUCCUGGACCGGCAUUGACGCUGACGAGCGAAAGCCAGGGGAGCAAACGGG